AACCCCCAAAGAAAAAAAAAAAAAAAGAGCGCAAAGGACACAGAAACACUGCCUGCAGACACCCCUACCAUACAUCCACUCAGUGACACUCUGCUUACCUCUGUCUACCAAAAAGAGGAAAAAGACAGACAGGAGAAGGUGGUAGAGGAAGAGGAGGGGGACAUGUCUCAGGUAGUUCCAUUAGAGAGAAUGGCAGCAAAGAAAAAAGAAGGUUAAAGAUGUGGCAGAGGAGGAGAGCGAGGCAGCAGGAGAGGUGGUGAACUGUGCGAGUCUGGCAGAUAACAGGAAAGAAUGAAGAAGAGGAAGAGGAGGAGGGGAAAAAAGGAAAAGUGCAGGGGCAGUCUGAUGAAAGACCAGCAGGGGGCAACAAAGACACAGCAAAGAAGUUGGAUGCCACAGGCGGCGACUCCUCUCAGCUCUCCUCAGCCAAGAAUAAACAUCAUUGCAAGAGGAAAUUGAUGCUCCACAAGGAAGAGCAGCAUCUUCCAGGCAGGACAGACUGAGGCCACAGGCACAAAGAAACAGACACAGCCAAGAGUAAACAGACGAGACGCCUCUACUCAAACCAAUGAAAAGACCCCAACCAGACCUCGCCGUCUCGUCUGCUCUCCUGUCAGCGUGAGCCAAGCUGCACCUGUGACGAAAAGAGGAAGAACAGAAGGAGGAACAGAACCUCCUGGCACUCCUGGAGCUGCUUCUACGGAAAGCAAACGAGCAUCUCCCACAGUCCUCCUGCUCCUACAGGCUCCUGAGCUUCUGUUCAUGGGUCAUUUCACCUAUGAUUAAAAACAAAAUGCGUUUUCAGUGGAUAACAACUGGAUCUUGGACCUGACAGUCAAACCUGCUCUGAGGGAACCUUGUGUUUUCAGUCGUUUCACUUUUUUUUUUGCUCAAACAGUUUACAUCCACCUGUAUUGUUGACUAUGCACUGCUGUUACUACAUGUUAAUAUUUGGAUGUUUGUGAGGACCAACAAGAAAAUAA